GCUUGCUCUGUGGGAUCAGUGGCGAACGGGUGAGUAACACGUGAGCAACCUGCCCCUGACUCUGGGAUAAGCGCUGGAAACGGCGUCUAAUACUGGAUAUGUGACGUGACCGCAUGGUCUGCGUCUGGAAAGAAUUUCGGUUGGGGAUGGGCUCGCGGCCUAUCAGCUUGUUGGUGAGGUAAUGGCUCACCAAGGCGUCGACGGGUAGCCGGCCUGAGAGGGUGACCGGCCACACUGGGACUGAGACACGGCCCAGACUCCUACGGGAGGCAGCAGUGGGGAAUAUUGCACAAUGGGCGCAAGCCUGAUGCAGCAACGCCGCGUGAGGGACGACGGCCUUCGGGUUGUAAACCUCUUUUAGCAGGGAAGAAGCGAAAGUGACGGUACCUGCAGAAAAAGCGCCGGCUAACUACGUGCCAGCAGCCGCGGUAAUACGUAGGGCGCAAGCGUUAUCCGGAAUUAUUGGGCGUAAAGAGCUCGUAGGCGGUUUGUCGCGUCUGCUGUGAAAUCCGGAGGCUCAACCUCCGGCCUGCAGUGGGUACGGGCAGACUAGAGUGCGGUAGGGGAGAUUGGAAUUCCUGGUGUAGCGGUGGAAUGCGCAGAUAUCAGGAGGAACACCGAUGGCGAAGGCAGAUCUCUGGGCCGUAACUGACGCUGAGGAGCGAAAGGGUGGGGAGCAAACAGGCUUAGAUACCCUGGUAGUCCACCCCGUAAACGUUGGGAACUAGUUGUGGGGUCCAUUC
rnacentral:rRNA from 1 species